rnacentral:rRNA from 1 species
UACGAAGGGGGCUAGCGUUGCUCGGAAUACUGGGCGUAAAGCGCACGUAGGCGGUCUUUUAAGUCGGGGGUGAAAUCCUGGAGCUCAACUCCAGAACUGCCUUCGAUACUGGAAGACUUGAGUCCGGGAGAGGUGAGUGGAACUGCGAGUGUAGAGGUGAAAUUCGUAGAUAUUCGCAAGAACACCAGUGGCGAAGGCGGCUCACUGGCCCGGUACUGACGCUGAGGUGCGAAAGCGUGGGGAGCAAACAGG